GAGGGUAUAGCUCAGAGUGGUAGAGGGCAUGCCUAGCAUGCGCGGGGUCCUGGGUUCAAUCCCCAGUACCUUCA
rnacentral:tRNA from 1 species